rnacentral:rRNA from 1 species
UGGGGAAUAUUGGACAAUGGGGGCAACCCUGAUCCAGCAACGCCGCGUGGGGGAUGAAGGUCUUCGGAUUGUAAACCCCUGUUGGGAGGGACGAAGGUUCGAGGGCGAACAGUCCUCGCGCUUGACGGUACCUCCAGAGGAAGCCCCGGCUAACUCUGUGCCAGCAGCCGCGGUAAUACAGAGGGGGCGAGCGUUAUUCGGAAUUAUUGGGCGUAAAGGGCGCGUAGGCGGCCGAGCAAGUCUUGGGUGAAAUCCCUCGGCUCAACCGAGGAACUGCCUUGGAAACUGCUCGGCUGGAGGCCGGGAGAGGAUGGUGGAAUUCCCAGUGUAGCGGUGAAAUGCGUAGAUAUUGGGAGGAACACCAGUGGCGAGGGCGGCCAUCUGGACCGGUCCUGACGCUGAGGCACGAAAGCGUGGGGAGCAA